AUUGAACGCUGGCGGCGUGCCUAAUACAUGCAAGUCGAGCGAAGCGGCGGAUGGGUGAGUAACGCGUGGGUAACCUGCCCUUACGUCUGGGAUAACAUUUGGCAACAGAUGCUAAUACCGGAUACUAAAGGUUGGACCUGCGAUGCAUGACCUAGUUGGUAAGGUAACGGCUUACCAAGGCGAUGAUGCCUAGCCGAGCUGAGAGAAGGACCGGCCACAUUGGGACUGAGACACGGUCCAAACUCCUACGGGAGGCAGCAGUGGGGAAUCUUCCACAAUGGACGAAAGUCUGAUGGAGCAAUGCCGCGUGAGUGAAGAAGGUUUUCGGAUCGUAAAGCUCUGUUGUUGGGGAAGCGGUAAUCAACCAGAAAGUCACGGCUAACUCCGUGCCAGCAGCCGCGGUAAUAC
rnacentral:rRNA from 1 species